GCUCACCAUCUCUUUGUAGUCUGAUGUAAAUCAUGAAUGAUGCACCAGCCUAGAUGGGGUUCAGACAUAUUUAAUAGGUUGUUGGGAGUCUGGUGGG
ensembl:miRNA